AGCGAACGCUGGCGGCAGGCCUAACACAUGCAAGUCGAACGAACUCUUCGGAGUUAGUGGCGGACGGGUGCGUAACACGUGGGAACGUGCCUUUAGGUUCGGAAUAACUCAGGGAAACUUGAGCUAAUACCGGAUGUGCCCUUCGGGGGAAAGAUUUAUCGCCUUUAGAUCGGCCCGCGUCUGAUUAGCUAGUUGGUGAGGUAAAGGCUCACCAAGGCGACGAUCAGUAGCUGGUCUGAGAGGAUGAUCAGCCACAUUGGGACUGAGACACGGCCCAAACUCCUACGGGAGGCAGCAGUGGGGAAUCUUGCGCAAUGGGCGAAAGCCUGACGCAGCCAUGCCGCGUGAAUGAUGAAGGUCUUAGGAUUGUAAAAUUCUUUCACCGGGGAUGAUAAUGACGGUACCCGGAGAAGAAGCCCCGGCUAACUUCGUG
rnacentral:rRNA from 1 species